rnacentral:rRNA from 1 species
GCCUACGGGGCGCAGCAGUGAGGAAUAUUGGUCAAUGGACGCAAGUCUGAACCAGCCAAGUAGCGUGCAGGAUGACGGCCCUCCGGGUUGUAAACUGCUUUUAGUUGGGAAUAAAAGGGGGCUCGUGAGCCCCGUAUUGUAUGUACCAUCAGAAAAAGGACCGGCUAAUUCCGUGCCAGCAGCCGCGGUAAUACGGAAGGUCCGGGCGUUAUCCGGAUUUAUUGGGUUUAAAGGGUGCGUAGGCGGAAUAUCAAGUCAGCGGUAAAAAUUCGGGGCUCAACCCCGUCGUGCCGUUGAAACUGAUG